AGUGUUUAUAAAAUUUUUUAAAAAAUUAAAUUACCAUCCCAACCUGUGGCCUCCAACGUAUCUUGCCUGCUACACUUCACAUUCAAAAUGUUUACGGGUAUUUAUUAUCUCUAGUUUUCAGCAGUGAAAACUCAAUGCCAGUUGAGAACCUCUGGCUGGAACACAGGAGAAACUGCGCCAUCUGCUGGCUGUUUCGGAGAACUGCUUGGGACAACCUGACACACAAAGAAGGCUCCUAGCACUCCACAACGCCACAAGAGGAUCCCUUCAGAGACUGUUUCCUCAGCCAAAUGUGCAAAUGUGUGAAGGAUAAAGAAGCUGACCCAUAUGAGCACCUGCUGUAUGCCAGCAAUUGUCA
rnacentral:lncRNA from 12 species